CAGUCGCCACGGGAAAACGUAGGGUCCGAGCGUUGUCCGGAAUUAUUGGGCGUAAAGGGCUCGUAGGCGGUUUGUUGCGUCGGGAGUGAAAACCCAGGGCUUAACCCUGGGCCUGCUUUCGAUGCGGGCAGACUAGAGGCAUUCAGGGGAGAACGGAAUUCCUGGUGUAGCGGUGAAAUGCGCAGAUAUCGGAAGGAACACCUGAGGCGAAAGCGGCUCACUGGACCAUAACUGACGCUGAGGCGCGAAAGCUAGGGGAGCAAACAGGAUUAGAGACCCCGGUAGUCCCUGUCUCUUAUAC
rnacentral:rRNA from 1 species